AUGCUUCUCAGGAACCCAGCUGGCUUCAUGGGAAAGGAUACUAGGGAGCCUGUCUCUCUGGACUGGGGUCGUUUUCUGGGGAGAGGGCAUGGUUUGGAGCAGCGGGCACCCCUCCUCAGCAGGGCUCGCAGAGAGCCAGGAGGGGCUGAGGCGUGCCAGGCCCCGGGAACAGGGAAGGCUGGCCUGAGGCCCAGAGGGGUGGAGCGGGAGGUCAUCGGCCAGGGGCGAGGGGCCCACUUGGCCCUCUCUCUGGACACAAUGUCCUGGACUGCUCCACAGCUUGGCUGGCGGACAGGGAACAGUGGCUGGCAGAGGGUUCUGGCAGCCAGCCCAAUGUGGGGGGGAGCAGCCUGGCCCGAGCAAAGGCUGGUUCUUACAACCUGUCCUGCCACCUUGGGCAAAGAAUGGACCAGCUUUUCCAGGAGGCAGGUAGGGGGCCUGGCACCCUGUGGGGACCUCAGCAAUCCCUCCCUACCCUGGACCUUAGUGGCUCCAUGUCACCUGCAGCCGCUGUCACUCGAGCUUGUUGCCUGUGGACCUCGAGGCUUUCUGAAUGCUGCUCAGACAAGCUGCAGAAAUAAACUGGGUGCUGGGGCAGCUCCCAGAGGCACCACAGCCCUCACCCACACCCCGGGCAGGGUGCGUGUCCGUCACAGUUGUCACAUACUUACCCUCUCAAGUGACUUUACACUGAGGACCUCUCAGCACCCUGAGCUUGGAAACAUAUGCUGAUGAAACACCUCUUUUAUAUCAGUUUCAUAUGCUGGCCUUCUGGAGAAGACUGUGGCUGAAAACGAGACUCUACUUGAAAAGUCCAUUUGAAAAUGGCAGCCUUGAUUCCUCACACUGUUCAUGGGGUUCUCCAGGCAAGAAUACUGAAGUGGUUUGCCAUUCCCUUCACCAGUGGUGAUGGACAGGGAAGCCUGGCAUGCUGCAGUCCAUGGGGUCGCAGAGUUGGACACAACUGAGUGACUGAACUGUACUGACGCCUUACAGCUGCCCUGGAAGGCUGGGCAAGGGCUGAUGUCCUCUUUGAGGCUUGUCAAAGUCAUACAGAAGACAGAGGAAGGUGGGAUGCAAACCCCUGCUCGAUGGGCAGACUCCCCAGAACUCCUCAUCCCAGACGCCUUGCUCCCAUUUGCUGAGCCACCCAUUCUCCCCACCCCACUGUCUCAGGCUUACAUAUCCACUCCCUCCCUAGAGAGAGCCUAGAAGUCCAGGCCCUCAGAGGCAGACAGCUUUCCCUUCCUUCCAAGGCUCUUUGGAUGCCCCUAGACCGUGUCCGCCAGUAGCAGCUGGAGGGCAGGCUGGGCGGGGCCAGGGCAGCUGGUGCCUCUCAGCACCGCCUGGCACGGGAGGCCGUGCUAGGUUUGCUGAGAGGACGAAUCUGGAGGCUGGACCAGAGGUCACUGCCCAGGGACGUGUCUGCAGCGCCGCCUGGUGGUGGCAAAGGCACUCCUGCUACACUGUCCCUGGUGAGGUCAUCCUUUCCCUUUAGGUUCAGCGAACGAACUUAGCGAGGUGGUACUAUGAUGUGGGGAUGGCACCACCAACCCAAUGGGCAUGAGUCUGAGCAAACGCCAGGAGACAGUGAAGGACAGGGAAGCCUGGCGUGCUGCGGUCCGUGGGGUCACAAAGAGUCGGACACAACUUAGCAACGGAACAACUAUGUACCAAGCACCAGGCAGGCCAGGCACAGAGAAUGGGGUUUGGCUGAGAAGAUCUCGGGGACAGCACUCCACGCAGACAGAAUGGCAAGUGCAAAGGCUCUGAGAAGGGAAGGGCUUGGCCGUGACCCAGGAGAAGCAAAAGGGUCCAGAGGGGUGGAGAGGGCGGGGAAGUGCAUGGGGUAGGUGGCCAGGUCUCAAAGGGCCUUUUAAGCUAUGUUGACAAGUUUGAGUUUGUUUCUGAGCGUGCUGGGAACCACGGGAUAUGAUGCAGUUGUAGGCAGCUGUGAGGAGGACAGGCUGCAGGG
ensembl:lncRNA